UACGAAGGGGGCUAGCGUUGCUCGGAAUCACUGGGCGUAAAGGGCGCGUAGGCGGCCUGAUAAGUAGGGGGUGAAAUCCUGCGGCUUAACCGCAGGGCUGCCUUCUAAACUGUCAGGCUAGAGCACAGUAGAGGCAGGUGGAAUUCCCGGUGUAGUGGUGAAAUGCGUAGAGAUCGGGAGGAACACCAGUGGCGAAGGCGGCUCGCUGGGCCGGACCUGACGCUGAGACGCGAAGGCGUGGGGAGCGAACGGG
rnacentral:rRNA from 1 species